UACGUAGGCAGCAAGCGUUGUUCGGAGUUACUGGGCGUAAAGGGUGCGUAGGCGGCUUUUUAAGUUUGGUGUGAAAUCUCCCGGCUCAACUGGGAGGGUGCGCCGAAUACUGAGAGGCUAGAGUGUGGGAGAGGAAAGUGGAAUUCAUGGUGUAGCAGUGAAAUGCGUAGAGAUCAUGAGGAAGACCAGUGGCGAAGGCGGGUCUCUGGACAGUUCCUGACACUGAGGCACGAAGGCCAGGGGAGCAAACGGG
rnacentral:rRNA from 1 species